UGGGGAAUAUUGCACAAUGGGCGAAAGCCUGAUGCAGCAACGCCGCGUGCGGGAUGACGGCCUUCGGGUUGUAAACCGCUUUCAGCAGGGACGAAGCGCAAGUGACGGUACCUGCAGAAGAAGCACCGGCUAACUACGUGCCAGCAGCCGCGGUGAUACGUAGGGUGCGAGCGUUGUCCGGAUUUAUUGGGCGUAAAGAGCUUGUAGGCGGUUAGUCGCGUCGUAAGUGCAAACUCAGGGCUUAACCCUGAGCCUGCGUUCGAUACGGGCUGACUAGAGGAAGGUAGGGGAGAAUGGAAUUCCCGGUGGAGCGGUGGAAUGCGCAGAUAUCGGGAGGAACACCAGUUGCGAAGGCGGUUCGCUGGACCUUUCCUGACGCUGAGAAGCGAAAGCGUGGGGAGCAAACA
rnacentral:rRNA from 1 species